CUAGGGCUGCAGGCCUGCACCCCUCCAGGUUCUUCAUGUUGCCUCAGACGGGGCUGGGUGUCUAAGUCGGUGACCCCACUCCUUCACCAGAGUGACAGAGCUCUUGUCCUGGUGGCUUUGAUUCCCUGGUUCUCAUAGCAGGUUCAAGUCAGGAACUUGAAGGGGUUUCUGGUCAGCUUUCCUCACUGAGAGAGGAGAGGGUGUAAAGCAGUCACGGUGAAGGUGUGGGGUGUUUCCAUUGAUGUCUUUCGUAUGAUUUAAAACUUCUUUAUAACUCUUCAUUUGAAAUUUUAGCUAUUAGUCUUAACUAUUAUUCCAUGAAAUUGACCCUUCUUAAAACUACGAGUUGAGCCAGUUCUUUAGCAGCAAGUUCUUGGCUAUGUAAAGCUAACAGUUCUUCACACUUUUCAAUGGACAAGUUACUAAAUCCAGCCUCUUUCAAAGGAUUCAGGUUGGGUUUUUCUGUUUGUUUGUUUGUUAGGGUUGGUUUGUUGUGUUGUGUUUUCAGUUUGUUUGGCUUCCAUGCCGCCUUGGAAGUCAGCAGCACACCUCGGAUGUGGAUCGCUGCACCCUGUCCUGUGCCAGGUCGUCCACACCUGUGCCCGCGGGGCGGCUUCAUAUCUGCUCUUUGAGCCCCCUCUUCUCUCCACCAAACCUCUUUUAGGCAACUCUAGUCAGUGCACAAACAGGUUUUUAAGCUCUGUUACUUGUUUUCUUUUAAUUUGUGAGUGUAAUUUGAAUUCAUUGUGUUCAUUUAACCUUUGGUAGAAAAUUUUCACUUAGCACGAGGCACAGUCCUGCCAGGGACCCAAAGAGCCAGCACCACCCUUCGCUCAGAGGCACCUGCAAUGUGAAUGUUUUCACUGGUCGUGCAGCCAGGUUUGCUAGAGUGGAUUUUCAAUUUAGAUAAAGAAUUUUGGGUAAAGUGGUUCAUAGCAAAGAAUCAGACUGUGGAAGCUUGAAUGGUGAGGGAUGUAUAGAGGUUAAACAUACUCUGAGUUUUUAGUGAGUCCAAAAGAAAAUCACUUCAUAUGACAGAGGUCUACACAGGCUUAAACCAGAACACUGCAAUGUUUAACUCAUUGGUAAAGACCUCCCCACCCAGGUUUUAGUAUUUUUUUGUUCAACCCAUUUGUUCCUUUUACUUUGCAUUUUUGUGUCAUAUUUUUACUUGUGCACCCCUUUCCUAAAACAAACACAAUGUUUUGUGUCCCAGAUCUGCACUGUCUGUGCCCAGGACACUGCGAGCAGGUUAUUUUAAAGUGCUUUGAUGGUUCAUGACUGUUACUGAUGGUCCAACUCGGGCACCCCAGGCUUCUGCCUGGGCAGUGUCCUGCCAGAGGCACCCCCAGACCUGUGCCCUUUCUCCUCCCCCAUAGCACUUGACAGUAGAGCAAUCACAGCCGCCAGAGUGAAUGAGGUUCAGCUCCUUCCCAAGGGCCUUUGCAUUCAGGCACACCUGAAACGUCAGGACACAGCCCGGUGGGCAGGCAUCAAUCUACCAGCAUCACCAGUGUCCCUGCCUUUCUUUCCUAUCCAGUUGAGAUCAUUCAAACACUGGUUUUUCACUAUUGACAAGAAAAGACAGUCCACACAACAGCAAGUAAAUACUGGUUAAAAUUUUUCCAUUUUAACUGUUUGUUUUGUAUAUGUGGCGAAAAUGAGAAUUUCAGACACAGGCACGUUGGGAUGCUCCUUUGCAGUGGGGAGCUCCGCGGAGCUACAGAGGAGGCCGACUGGGAGUUGUAGUUUCUUUUUCUCUUCGAGCUGAGCUGGCAAGCCACAGGAUCAGAAGGGGAGCCAUCCGUUUCUUUUACAGAACAGCAAUGGACCAAAAUGAAUGCAGUCAUUCUGUUUUAUCCUCAGAAGAUGAUAAGUGGACACAUGGCUCAUUUACUCUAUUAAUGGAAGCAACUCAUGCCCAACAACCACCCACAGACACACACAUCCACAGUUUUAUGUCAAAUCUGCUUAACACUGAAAGGGGCUCAGCCAGAUUUUACCUCUGGCCCCAGCCACAUUUAUUUGACAAAAAACAAAGAUAAUACAAUGGAGAAAGGACCGUCUUUUCAACAAAUGUUGCUGGAAUGUGGUGCUGGACAUCCUCAUGCAGAAAAAUGAAUCGACACAGACCUUCUACCUGUUCUCCAUUGUAUUAUCUUUGCGUUUUUGUCAAAGAUCAAUUACAAGUACUGUGACUGCAGCAGAAGCACACAUAGAGGCUCCCUCUUCAGGCAAGAUGGUGGACUGGAUAUUCGGAAGCAUCAUUCUGUUAAAUGCAUACAGAAACUGAGGCUCCUAAACGGAAUCUUUAUGACUGACGAGCUCACUAGAGAGUGAGGAAAACUCCAAGGGUGAAGCAAACAAUACACAUAAAAAGGAACUGGAGCUAAACCUGGAGGUGAGAGCCGCGAGGAUGCAAACAUGGAAGGCAGGGUUGACCAGUAGACAAAUGCAGAUACGCACCCUGGGAUCAGGAAACUCAACCUUGAGUUGUUGGUAAAGUUGAAAAGCUGAUAGUGAGGCCUCUAUGUUAUAUUAAGACCUCCCCAGGGAACUACUACAAAGUCAUUUUUUUAACCAAACAUAUAAGGCUGUUCUGACAUUUUAUUUCUUCUUAUGCUCAUUUUGCUAAGUUAGCUUUCCAAUGAAUGUUUUUAUUAGAUUAAAGUUGUUGAAUUUGUUUACACAAAUUCAUACAGUCUUUUUAUUAUCCUUUAAUCAGUACAGGAACUAUAGUAAUCUUCCCUCUUUGAAUUCUGAUAUUGAUAAUUCAUGAUUAUUUUAUUUGAUCAGCCUGGAUAGAUAUUUAUCAAUAUUAUUAAACUUUACUAAAAUCUAACAUUGAUUUUCUGUUAUAUUUCCUGUUUUCUAUUUUAUUGCGUCCUAGACAGUGUCUUUUGCAGAGCAGUUAAUUGUAAUGAAAUGCAAAUUACCGAUUUUUUCUUUCAUAGAUCAUGCUUUAGGUGCUGUAUCUAAAAAGUCAUCACCAAACCCACCGUCACCUAGAUUUUCACCAAUGUUACCUUCUUGGGGUUUUAAGUAUGUAAUCCAUUUUGACUUAAUUUUUGUGAAAGGUAUAAGGUCUGUGUCUAGAUUCAUUUUUCUGCAUGAGGAUGUCCAGCACCACAUGGCAGCAUCAUUUGUUGAAAAGACUGUCCUUUCUCCAUUGUAUUAUCUUUGUUUUUUUGUCAAAGAUCAACUGCUUGUAAUGUAACUCUAGUUGUGUUUGGUUUAAGCCUCCCAUCAUGCCCCUGUUUUCUAUUUGCUCCACCUUUUCUUUGUUCCUCUUUUAUUUGAUCAGCCUGGCUAGGCUCUUUUACACUAAAUUUUUAAAAAGUUAUUCCACUUUAUAUCCUCUUUUGGCUUUUACUUUUUUAGUGGUUGUUCUAGGGAUUAAAAUAUUUAUCCUUAAUUAAUUUUCUCUACUUAGAAUUAAUAGCAUAUCCCUUAAAAUAAAAUAUAAGAACCUUACAAAAGUGUAUAUCAUUUAACCCAUACCCUUCCUUUGUGAUACUGUCACUUUCUUAAUUCUUCAUAUUAAAAAUUCAUGUUAUUGUUGUACCUCAAUUUCAUUUUUGAGAAACUAAGCAAUGAUCAAGAUAGUAGUUUUCUUAUUUUCCACAUAUUUAGAAUUUCCAGAAACCUUUUUCUUUCCUGGUGAUCCACGUUUCUGUCUGGUAUCCUUCUCUUUCAGCCUGAAGAAUUUCUUUAACAUUUCUUGUCAUGCAAUCCUAGUGGGACAAUUUUUCUCUGGUUUUGAUCAUCGUCAAAAGUAUUUUUUUUAUCUUGAUUUUUGAAGGGGAGGUUUGCUAAAAAAAGAAAUCUAGGCUGACUUUAUUUUUCUUCAGCACUUUAAACAUAUUCCAGUGUUUUCUGGCUCACACUAAGAAAUCAGCUGUCGUUCUACGGGGUUUUCUCCUACGUGUAAUGGGUCUUUUUUUCCUCCUCUGGUUGAUUUAAAAUUUUUCUCUUUUUUUUUUUGGUUUUCAGUAAUUUGAAUACAAAAUACCUGGGUUUGUUUUUCUCUGUAUUUCCUACUUAGGACUGAUUAAAAUCUUUGGACUUAUGAGUUGAAGUUUUCAUCAACUUUUUCAAAUUUUGGUCGUUAUAUCCUCAAAUGUUUUUUCUACCCGAUUCAGUCUUUUCUCCUUCUUGGAUUCAAAUUUCAUUAGAUUUCUUGAUACUAUUCCACUGAUCACUAGUGUCCUGUUCUUUUAUUCAUAGUCCAUAGAUCUAUGAACUGUCUUCAAGUGAUAGAUUUUUUCUCCAAUUCCAAUAUGCUGUUAAAUCUAUCCAAUUAAGUUUCUUUUAAAAUUUUAGAAAUUUUAUUUUCCUGUCCCAGCAUCAGUUCUUUCUGGAGUUUAUAUUUCUCUCCUGAAAUUCUUCAACUUUUAAUCCAUUUAUUUUUCUAUGCAUUCUUUAACACAUUUAUAAUAGCUAUUUUAAAAAUCCUUAAUUGAUCAUUCCAAUGAAUGAGUCAUUUAAUCUUUUGAUUGUGAGUCAUGUUUUCCCAAUUCUUUGUAUGUCAUAUACAUUUAUAUUGUAUUCCAGUCAAUAAAUCUGAAGUCUGAAGUAUCUGCUUUCCCUGAUUUGAACUUGCACUGUACAUGAAAUAAAUCAAAUCAAACUUCUAAUUUGGCUUAUAAACUUCCAUCUCCUUUAUGUCAAGCUGUCCGUCUAGCAAGCUUGCCCCGGCUCUUGUCCUAUAAAACUGAAUCCUGGGUGCCACUUGCUUGGCUGUUACUUUUAAUGAGUAAACUGCAGUUGCCACCAGAUCCCUUUCCCCCCAGGAAAAGAAAGUGAGAUCUACAUGACACUAAAAUAGUGCUUCCAA